AUUGAACGCUGGCGGCAGGCCUAACACAUGCAAGUCGAGCGAGUGGCGGACGGGUGAGUAAUGUAUGGGGAACUGCCCGAUGGAGGGGGAUAACUACUGGAAACGGUGGCUAAUACCGCAUACUAUCGGAUGAACCCAGAUGGGAUUAGCUAGUAGGUGGGGUAACGGCUCACCUAGGCGACGAUCCCUAGCUGGUCUGAGAGGAUGACCAGCCACACUGGGACUGAGACACGGCCCAGACUCCUACGGGAGGCAGCAGUGGGGAAUAUUGCACAAUGGGCGCAAGCCUGAUGCAGCCAUGCCGCGUGUAUGAAGAAGGCCUUCGGGUUGUAAAGUACUUUCAGCGAGGAGGCGUUACUCGCAGAAGAAGCACCGGCUAACUCCGUGCCAGCAGCCGCGGUAAUAC
rnacentral:rRNA from 1 species